rnacentral:lncRNA from 1 species
AGAGAUAAAAAGAGUUCUGCAGCCAACUGCUGGGUGUGUGUUCAGGCUCGCUCUACCUCAGGAGAACCAACUGUCAGUGCAUAGGGCUGAGCGGGCCAUCUGCUUGCUUGAAGCAUCCAUCCCUUGCCUUCUACCAGCUUUCCGAAGACAAAUGGAGCAACCACCACCACCACCAAAAGCCUCUGGAAUGCGACCUUUGUGCCCAGAGGCUGCCUGCUGGCUGGCAUCAAGGACGUCAGAGGCUCUUACUCAGAGAUGCCUUGCUUGACUUCAGGCGACCAUCUCCUUUUAGACUUGGAGCUGCAGUUUUUCUGGA